AUUGAACGCUGGCGGCAUGCCUUACACAUGCAAGUCGAACGGCAGCACGGGUGCUUGCACCUGGUGGCGAGUGGCGAACGGGUGAGUAAUACAUCGGAACGUACCUUAUCGUGGGGGAUAACGCAGCGAAAGCUGUGCUAAUACCGCAUACGCCCUGAGGGGGAAAGCGGGGGAUCGCAAGACCUCGCGCGAUUAGAGCGGCCGAUGCCUGAUUAGCUUGUUGGUGGGGUAAAAGCCCACCAAGGCGACGAUCAGUAGCUGGUCUGAGAGGACGAUCAGCCACACUGGGACUGAGACACGGCCCAGACUCCUACGGGAGGCAGCAGUGGGGAAUUUUGGACAAUGGGGGCAACCCUGAUCCAGCAAUGCCGCGUGAGUGAAGAAGGCCUUCGGGUUGUAAAGCUCUUUUGUCAGGGAAGAAACACCGGCUCUAACACAGUCCGGGAAUGACGGUACCUGAAGAAUAAGCACCGGCUAACUACGUGCCAGCCGCCGCCGCAG
rnacentral:rRNA from 1 species